rnacentral:rRNA from 1 species
CGUGUAGGCGGUCAGGUAAGUGGAAUGUGAAAUGCCCCGGCUCACCCGGGGGACCCGGGCAUCCCAAACUGCCUGGCUUGAGUAUGGGAGAGGAUGGAGGAAUUCCUGGUGUAGCGGUGAAAUGCGUAGAUAUCAGGAGGAACACCGGUGGCGAAGGCGUCCAUCUGGCCCAAUACUGACGCUGAGGCGCGAAAGCUAGGGGAGCAAACG